rnacentral:rRNA from 2 species
UAGAGUUUUGAUCCUGGCUCAGGAUGAACGCUGGCGGCGUGCCUAAUACAUGCAAGUCGAGCGAACAGAUGAGAAGCUUGCUUCUCUGAUGUUAGCGGCGGACGGGUGAGUAACACGUGGGUAACCUACCUAUAAGACUGGGAUAACUCCGGGAAACCGGGGCUAAUACCGGAUAAUAUAUUGAACCGCAUGGUUCAAUGUUGAAAGACGGUUUCGGCUGUCACUUAUAGAUGGACCCGCGCCGUAUUAGCUAGUUGGUAAGGUAACGGCUUACCAAGGCAACGAUACGUAGCCGACCUGAGAGGGUGAUCGGCCACACUGGAACUGAGACACGGUCCAGACUCCUACGGGAGGCAGCAGUAGGGAAUCUUCCGCAAUGGGCGAAAGCCUGACGGAGCAACGCCGCGUGAGUGAUGAAGGUCUUAGGAUCGUAAAACUCUGUUGUUAGGGAAGAACAAAUUUGUUAGUAACUGAACAAGUNCUUGACGGUACCUAACCAGAAAGCCACGGNCUAACUNAC